rnacentral:rRNA from 1 species
UACGUAGGCAGCGAGCGUUGUUCGGAAUUACUGGGCGUAAAGGGUGUGUAGGUGGUGGCGUAAGUUCUGUGUGAAAUCUCCCGGCUUAACCGGGAGGGUGCGCAGAAGACUGCGUCGCUAGAGUAUGGGAGAGGUAAGCGGAAUUUCUGGUGUAGCGGUGAAAUGCGUAGAUAUCAGAAGGAACACCUGUGGUGUAGACGGCUUACUGGACCAUUACUGACACUGAGACACGAAAGCGUGGGUAGCAAACAGG